UGCCAGCAGCCGCGGUAAUACGAAGGGAGCUAGCGUUGUUCGGAAUUACUGGGCGUAAAGCGCACGUAGGCGGAUUUGUUAGUCAGGGGUGAAAUCCCGGGGCCCAACCUCGGAACUGCCUUUGAUACUGCAAGUCUGGAGUCCGGAAGAGGUGGGUGGAAUUCCUAGUGUAGAGGUGAAAUUCGUAGAUAUUAGGAAGAACACCGGUGGCGAAGGCGGCCCACUGGUCCGGUACUGACGCUGAGGUGCGAAAGCGUGGGGAGCAAACAGGAUUAGAUA
rnacentral:rRNA from 1 species